GAGGCAAUAGUCCAAUUGGCAGGAUACUCGGCUGUCCCCCUUGAGAUCUGGGUUCGAGUCCCAGUUGCCCCG